ACAAAAUUUUUUUUUAAUUAAAAAAAAGAUGGAACUUAGGUUACCAUAGGAUUUUGUCUGCUGUCACAUACACUGGAACUUCUUAGGGUUGGGGGUGUUGUUUUAGCUAUGUGUCCUCCAUACCCUGCACUCAGGAGCAGCUCAGUAAACCAUGUAGGUGCUUUUCACAUGCAGGCUCUCUAGUCACCAUGGCAACCUUGCAAACUAGACAGUGUUUUUUCCCAAAUGAAGUCUCAGGUUAAGCAACUUGCCCCAAGUCAGAUAUGCUUAGUUUCCAAGGCAGAACUCUUUCCACAGUGUCUAAAGUAUGUCUGAUGUUUGCAUGCUCAAAACAAACACAAAACAAAACAAAUCCCACUCUGCUUCAUAGAAGCAGCAUUACCUGGACCUAAUCCCACCUCUCGUGGAACCGAAUGGUUUUUUGGGAGCUCUCUACCUGGGCAAACACCCCCACCUUCUCUGAAUUUCACUUUCCUCCACUGUCAUGGGGUUGAUACUAAUAGCUUCCUUCUUAGGCUGACAGAGAUAACACACACAAGGCACGCAGCGCUGUGAUAAGUCACCGUCCUUCCUGGGUGCCCUGCCCUGUUGCCUUGCAGCUCAGAUGCCUCCUCCACACCAGGGGCUGAGAAGCGCUGGCUGGGGCGGGGCAGGGGGCGGAGCCUGGUCCCUCCUGACUGUCCUCCAGAAUCACACAUCUGGCCCCUCAGGGUGGGAGUGGGAAGGAAGCCAGGCUCCCUGGACGCUGAUGAAACGUGUCUGUUGUGGGCCUGUUGGGCAACGCUGAAACUGGGGAGGAAGGAACAGCAACCGCUGAGUCUCCUGCUGGGUCCGAGGAGGCUUGAGCAACGCCCCCAGCAGUUGCCUCAUCUCUGCCAAGCAGGGUGAUGAUGCCCCAGGGUGGGGUGUUGCACCAUGUUCUUAGAAAGCUGCCUCUGUACAUGCAUUUCCAUUUGGGGCCUGGACUGGUUUUGUUUAAUCAUUGUCUUUUUCACUUCCAAAUUUCUGAGGGCAAAUUGGGAGACCAUGAUGUGGUGAAAUGAUCAUUAGCCAACUUUCCCUGAGUACUUACUCCACAUCCUGUACUGUGCUAAGUCCCUUCAUGUACAUGAUCUCGUGGAAUGCACACACCAACCCUCUCAGUUACCCACGGUCGAGCUCCCAAAGCAGAUGAUCCUCCUUCCAAGGUAUCGGCAGAAGAUCAGAAGUGGCCUAACGCGACGUCACAGUGCCUACGUCAUUCGCCUCAUCACAUCUCAUCACGUGGGCCUUUUAUCAUCUCACAUCAUCACAGGAACAAGGGUGCUGAGCAAGGCCCCGCGCACAUCGUCCUCCGACCUCUCCACGUGCUUACAAGGUUAGCUGUCCUUCCCCCAUUUAACAGGUAAGCAAACGGCGGCUUCGGGGGGAGUCAUGUCACACAAGGGCACAUAAGUGCCAGCUCUUGAAUUCUCCAGUCUUUGAGAGUGGAACCUUUUUCUUUUUAUCUCUUUUGGCCUUUGCUGAUGCCUGGUGAUAGGACUUUCUACAACUGGGCCAACUUCCCCUGUCGGGCUCUUUACCAAACAUUCCAGGUAGACUUAUCACCCUGUGAUAACAUGGGAAGUUCUCAUUCAUUCCAUCUGUAU